UGUGCCUCCCGAGCAGGAAAACCCAAGUCAACAGAAAAGAGGCCUCAAGUGGGGAGAAGCUACCAUGCAGCAUGGCACACGGAGUUGAGCUGGCACGGGGAGGGGAUCUAAGCGUGGCCAGAGAGGGCAUGGUGUCGAGGUGGGAGCAGGUGAACCACACAGUUUUGGUCCAGCUCUUCUGCCUGUAGCUGCCAGCUGCCAGACCAGACAGCAGGAGGGGACCGUCACGGGUGCCUGAGAGAGGGGCCAGUCCAGGACACCAAUCCCUGUUAUCUCUGCUGCCCUGAACAGGCGUGGGGGUGAUUUCCUUUUGCCUUGUGAGCAGGCUGGCCCUGCUACUCCAGGAGGAGGCCUGUGGGGCCCCUCCCGAGUUCUUUUCUUUCAUCCCACCUGGGUGUCUUGUUUCCCCUGCGUUCCGCAGGCAGCGUAGUGCUCACUCACUCUGAUGUCUCCAUCUGUUGGUUACAGAAUGGUGUGCAGUGAAUUGCAGCUUCACUUCUGUGGGCUGUGUGAGCUUGGGAGGGCCACUUACCUACUCUGGCCCAGCUGCACCCCUUGUCUGCAAAGUAAGGUCAGCUUCUUCUGCCCAGGCCUUCCUGUAAGCUCCCAAGAAGCUUCCUGUCAGUCACCAAGAAGCCCGCCUUGCUGCCUCUGUUGCCGGCCCACAGGUGCCAGCUGGCCAGGGCCUUCUCAUGUUCACCCUCACUGUCCCUUUCCCGGUCCCCACCCUCGCCAGACGAUCGUGAUGAGGGCCUUCUUUAAAUGUGCCUUUUCUCUCCGUGUUCACAGCCGGAGUUCCAUUCCAGGCGAAUCCUCUCGAGUUCCCUGCGCCUCUGCCUGUUUGGUUGUCUAGAAUGUUCUCCAGAAUCUUUCUUUCUGCUGAGUAACUCAGGGCUUGGCCUCUUGUGUUAUCUUUUCCACUUCACAUGCUGUUAGCAGAAUUGGGGGUCAUAUUUCUCUUCCAGUUUGUCCCUGUGUUGUUGAGUGCAGAGUCUAGGGCCAGGCGGAAUGUGCCAUCUUGUGAGGAAAUGUGUUUGUGUUGUUUUUUACUUAAAAAUUGUGAGCGUAGUGGAGGGGGAAUGACAGAGGUAGGAAGGCCCCUGACCACUGCGUAGUGAAGCGGCAUACAGAGGUAAGGCAGCCGGGGCGGGGGGCUGCAGCCCUGCAUGGGGCUUCCUCUGGAUCUGGUUGCACGUGCUGUACUCUGAGAGGCAAGGUUAGAGCCCAGUCAUCUCUAUUCAUGUGACACUGCCAUUCCCAAAAGGACUUAGAGCGGAGGGAACUUGACCCCCACCUUACUGCCACUUGUGAGGAAGAGCAGAGUUCUGAUGCGUGCCCCAGCCUUGUUUAUAUAAAUGGAGCUUCAGUCUAGGUGUGAGCAGAUGUUCAUUGGGCAUCCAGACACCAGACCUGCUCUGGAGUCAGGGAGGGGCCGCCAUCUGGAUCUCUGGUACAGUGUGGACAGCGUCUGCUCCUCUACAUGUCUUGGCUGAAAGUAUCGCAGCUGUCGUGACAUUCUCUGGUGGAGAAGAAGGAACUUCCCAGAGGGAUUCCGGAACUGCGGAAAGACGGGAAUGAGGGAGGCCCUGGCCAGCCCGAGGCCUUGGGCACAGAGGCCCUUGCAGGCAUUUCAGCAUCCUCCUCUCUCACUUCUUCCUCAGUCCUCUCAGAAAUGGGGAGAAAUGAAGGUCCUUAUUCCUUUGUUUUCACUGGUGGGCGGAUCCGAUGGAAGAGGGUGGAUGUUUUGCUCAGGAUCACACACAGAGGUCCUGAGGCUCCCUCUCCUCACCAGGAUCUCCUCACCCUCCCCCAAAGCAAGUUUUCCUUCUGCCUGUUCACUCUGAAGUAGGGCUCCUUGCCAAGUCACCCAGCAUCCCCUUCCCUCCUCCUCCUCUCUUUCCAGCCCACCCCCAUCUCAGGAAAUCACAUGAACAGGUAACAGGUGUUCUCAGCCUCGUGAAAAACCCAUGCUAGCUGUGACGUUGAAUUGCUGGGCUGGCAGACAUCUGCGGAGGAGCAAAAGGCAUAUUUGCUUCUUCCUGCCUCUGUGCGGUGCCAGAGAGCUAAAAUCAUGGGUCUAAAAGGGAGAGCAUGCUGUCUGAGCGAAUGUCUGCUCACUUCCAGAUGCACAGGUGUAUAAAAAUACCCACCCUUCCAUUUAAAACAUGUUCAAAAUGUUGAUAGAAAACAAUGAAACGUCAUGAAAGGUAUCCUUAGAAAGAUAGACCCUAAUGAAGAAAACACUAACUCACACGGGUAGGGCCUGGCAUCCCUCACAUUUAAGUUUAUUCUGUGGAAUUGUUCAUUGGUGCUUCUGUUUUAGUUACUUCUCUAUCGACUUGUUUUUCCCUUGACUAAUAAAUGCCAAAGGUGCCAGGUGGUAUCCUGCGUAUAGCACAGUAGCAGGGUGGAGACUGUUUCCUGGGAGCCCUUCCUUUGCCUUUUUCCCUCCUUGAGGCUGCAAACUUCAUCAUUCCCUGUGGGUACUUUCUCUGUCUUUCCUGUUUUCUUUUCCUCAAGAAAAACUUAAUUUUUAACAAACAGAAUUGUUUUCUGUGUUGCAGCAUUUGAGUUGCUGAGAAAACACAGCUGAGUUUAUCAAGUAGAGUUUUUAAAGCAAAAAAAAAAAAAA